AUGAAUGCCUAUUCUAGAGCCGCAAGGGCCAAUGCAGCGAGCGAGUCCAAAAGAAACAUUGGAAAGAAGAGGAAAAUGUGUUUAAAAAAAAAAAAAGGUGGCAGAAGACCACCCCUUCCACUUGAGCAAUCAGGCUGUGCUGUCUGUCGGGCACGUCGGGGCGCUGCAGCGGCGCGUCGCCCCUCCCGCCACCGCGCCAACACUGCCCCCUGCGGUGACUCACGCCGGGGCGCGUUUAAAUACUGGGAGCGCGCGGCCAGCUGCACUCAUGCUGCAGCCUUGAGCCGUCGCACAUCCUCCUUUCGGGCUCCUUCUGGUCGACGGCGGCUCUCGCGGGCGCCGAGCUGCUGUUUCCCCAGGUGCCCUAGGAGGGGGCAGGACCAGGGGCUCCCUGAGGCCCCUCCCAGCUCCCGGAUCCCAUGACAUGGCUAUUAGCUAUGUGAAGAUGCACCAAUUGACAAGUGGAAUUGCCCUGCCUGGAAAACUUUUGAAACAAGGUGGGCCUGAAAAGGUGGGUAUGAGUUCCUCAAGCCACAGCAUGGAGGUGGGGCCAGGCCAGGUGGCACUGCCGGUUGAUCGGCAUGACCUGUAGGGAAGGCUUCAGGCCAGAUCUCCUUUCUGUCCUCAGACGGAAUAUAUCAGAGCUGCCAAGGGCCCUUGGAAGUUUUUACAGGAGGGGAAACCGAGGCCUGGAGAAUUUACUUAAACUCACACUCCAUCUUCGUGUCAAGACCAGAGUAGGACAUCUGUCUCCCAGCUCCUUCCAAAAGCCUUGCUCCGUGGCAUACGAAGGCGUCUCCUCCCAGGGUAGCUCGUGUUUAGGGAAUGUGAAUGAUAGUAUUAAACCAAAAAAGUCCCAACCCACCAACCAACAAAGCACAGGGCUUCCAGGCUAAUUAUGUGUUCGCUCAUGAGUCACAGGCAGUUCUUGCUAAAGAGACCCAGAGCCGGAGCGCCUGGUCCAAGUGCUUCUCUCCUGGGGAGGGACCGCGUCUGAGUGUCCAGGUGAGCUGUCUGUGUGUCCUUCUGUCUGUCUGCUCGGCUCACUGAAUUCCUGGGCCAGCGACAGACGCCAGGCUGCGCCCCCUCCCAGGACAGGGGCCGGGUGGAGUGGCUUCAGUGACUGAGCCCUUGUUCGGCCACCUGGGGAGGAGGGUGUAAUUAGGGCGGCUUUGUGGGUCUUUAACUGGCAUUUGUCACGGCUGCCAAGCGGCCCUGAGCAGCGUGGGCUAUUAGGCGGCUGUGUGCUGGGCUCCUGAGGGCCCCGGGCUGCCGCGUGCCUGCAGCACUUGCUGACAAUCCGAGGGCCCGGCUGGCUGUCCAGCCCUGCAGCUUCUGUGGCCCUCCCUCCCCAGAGCCCUGCAGCUGCGUGUGAGGUGGGCUCUGUGGGGGCCCUCCGGAGCAGUUGGUGCCAGCUGUGGCA
rnacentral:lncRNA from 1 species